rnacentral:rRNA from 2 species
GCAGUCGAACGCGUUGGCCCAACUGAUUGAACGUGCUUGCACGGACUUGACGUUGGUUUACCAGCGAGUGGCGGACGGGUGAGUAACACGUAGGUAACCUGCCCCAAAGCGGGGGAUAACAUUUGGAAACAGAUGCUAAUACCGCAUAACAAUUUGAAUCGCAUGAUUCAAAUUUAAAAGAUGGCUUCGGCUAUCACUUUGGGAUGGACCUGCGGCGCAUUAGCUUGUUGGUAGGGUAACGGCCUACCAAGGCUGUGAUGCGUAGCCGAGUUGAGAGACUGAUCGGCCACAAUGGAACUGAGACACGGUCCAUACUCCUACGGGAGGCAGCAGUAGGGAAUCUUCCACAAUGGGCGCAAGCCUGAUGGAGCAACACCGCGUGAGUGAAGAAGGGUUUCGGCUCGUAAAGCUCUGUUGUUAGAGAAGAACGUGCGUGAGAGCAACUGUUCACGCAGUGACGGUAUCUAACCAGAAAGUCACGGCUAACUACGUGCCAGCAG